GCCGCGUGUGGGAAGACGGCCUUCGGGUUGUAAACCACUUUUAUACAGAAAUAACGAGGUUACGUGUAACCAAAGUGAAGGUACUGUAAGAAUAAGCACCGGCUAACUCCGUGCCAGCAGCCGCGGUAAUACGGAGGGUGCAAGCGUUAUCCGAAUUCAUUGGGUUUAAAGCGUACGCAGGCGAUUGUGUAAGUUAGUAGUUAAAGGCAGUAGCUCAACUACUCGCAUGCUAUUAAUACUGCACAAUUUGAGUCUUUUAGGAGUGAGUAGAAUUCGUGGUGGAAGAGUGAAAUCUGUAGAGACUGCGAAGAAUACCAAAAGCGAAAGCAACUCACUAAGAAACGACUGACGCUAAUGUACGAAAGCGUGGGUAGCGAACAGGAUUAGAUACCCUGGUAGUCCACGCCGUAAACGAUGAUUACUCGAUGCAUGCAACAUAUCGUGUGCGUCCAAGCGAAAGUGAUAAGUAAUCCACCUGGGGAGUACGCUCGCAAGAGUGAAACUC
rnacentral:rRNA from 1 species